rnacentral:rRNA from 1 species
CCUACGGGUGGCUGCAGUGGGGAAUAUUGGACAAUGGGCGAAAGCCUGAUCCAGCCAUGCCGCGUGUGUGAAGAAGGCCUUCGGGUUGUAAAGCACUUUCAGUGGGGAAGAAAGCCUUGGGGCUAAUACCCUCGAGGAAGGACAUCACCAACAGAAGAAGCACCGGCUAACUCCGUGCCAGCAGCCGCGGUAAUACGGAGGGUGCGAGCGUUAAUCGGAAUUACUGGGCGUAAAGCGCGCGUAGGCGGUCUGAUAAGCCGGUUGUGAAAGCCCCGGGCUCAACCUGGGAACGGCAUCCGGAACUGUCAGGCUAGAGUGCAGGAGAGGAAGGUAGAAUUCCCGGUGUAGCGGUGAAAUGCGUAGAGAUCGGGAGGAAUACCAGUGGCGAAGGCGGCCUUCUGGACUGACACUGACGCUGAGGUGCGAAAGCGUGGGUAGCAAACAGGAUUAGAUACCCCUGUAGUC